ACAGAGGCAGACAACCAGCUGUCUUUCAUUGUCAAUCAGAGUGAGGGUUUGUAGCAACAAGGCCCAAGUGGUCACUAUGCCACCAGCUAACACUGCCUUU